UACGUAGGGUGCGAGCGUUGUCCGGAAUUAUUGGGCGUAAAGAGCUCGUAGGCGGCUUGUCGCGUCGGAUGUGAAAGCCCGGGGCUUAACUCCGGGUCUGCAUUCGAUACGGGCAGGCUAGAGUUCGGUAGGGGAGAUCGGAAUUCCUGGUGUAGCGGUGAAAUGCGCAGAUAUCAGGAGGAACACCGGUGGCGAAGGCGGAUCUCUGGGCCGAUACUGACGCUGAGGAGCGAAAGCAUGGGGAGCGGACAGG
rnacentral:rRNA from 1 species